rnacentral:rRNA from 1 species
UACGUAGGCAGCAAGCGUUGUUCGGAGUUACUGGGCGUAAAGGGUGUGUAGGCGGCUCUCUAAGUUUGGUGUGAAAUCCCCAGGCUUAACCUGGGAACUGCGUCUGAUACUGGAUGGCUUGAAUUCGGGAGAGGGAUGCAGAAUUCCAGGUGUAGCGGUGAAAUGCGUAGAUAUCUGGAGGAAUACCGGUGGCGAAGGCGGCAUCCUGGACCGAGAUUGACGCUGAUGAGCGAAAGCUAGGGGAGCAAACGGG